rnacentral:lncRNA from 1 species
GUUUCAGUUCUCGAAGGAAAAUUCAGGGAACCUAGGGACUGCCCGUAGGCGCAGUAACCGUCUAAUUUUCAGUGUUGAAUCAAAUAAGGAGCUCUCACCCUAUUUCCUAUCAUGGAAUUAAAGUUCAAAUAAAUAAUAAUACGGUCCUUUGUACAAAUUAAAUGGAUGUGCUUGAUUAAUUACGGAUUGCUAAUGGAGCCCAAAUCGGACAUUGUUUUCUGUCAAUUACUGUUGAUUUAUUGUACAGUCUAAAAGCAUGAUGAUAUCUAGUUUAUAUAUAUAUGAUUUAAAU